UAAUGUGUGCGGGCGCUCCAUGCAGUCGGAGGUAGCACAGAGGGCUUGGUCUCUGGUGAGGAGUGGGGCGCGGGUGUGUAAUGUGUGGGGAUCUGCCCGAUAUAGGGGGAUAUCCCCUGUGAACGGGGGGUAAUACCGCAUAACGUCUCAAGACCAAAGAGGGGGACCUUCUGGCCUCUCACUAUCUGAUGAACCCCCAUGGGGUUUUCUAUUAUGCGGGGUAACGGCCCACCCAUGCGACAAUACCUAUCUGGGGUGAGAGGAGGAGCCCCCCCACUGUGACUGUGACACGGUCCCCACACUCACAGGGGGGGCCACUGGGGAAUAUUGUGCAAUGUGGGCAAGCCUGAGGCGCCCCUGCGCCGUGUGUGAGAAAAGCGUUCUGGUUGUGUAGUACUUUUUCCGCGGAGAAAAGCGCUGAGGUUAAUAACCUUACUGAUUGACGUUUCCCCCACAAAAAACACCGGCUAAAUCCCUGCGACCAGCCCCGGUAAUACAGAGGGGGCGAGCGCUUAUCUCAAUAAUAGGGCGUAAAGCGCACACACGCGGUCUGUUAAAUCACAUAUGAAAUCCCCGGGCUUAAACCGUGAACUGUAUUUUAGACUGUCGGGCUUGAGUCUCUCAGAGAGGGGGAUAAAUCUCCGUGUGUCGCUGAAAUGCGUAUAGAUCUGGAGAAGUACACGUGGCGAAAGCGGCGCCCUGUGCGAAAACAGACACUCACGUGCGAAAGCGUGUGGAGCACACACGAUAAUAUACACUGUGAGUCUACACCCUAUACGAUAUCUACAUGUAGAUUGUUCUCUUGAGGAGAGUGUUCUGGAGCUCUCACGCUAUGUCUACCCCCUGUGGAGUACAGCGCACGGUGAAAACUCUCAUGAAUUGU
rnacentral:rRNA from 1 species